AGAUAGAGAUGGAGGGUUUGAUCCUGGCUCAGGGUGAACGCUGGCGGCGUGCCUUACACAUGC
rnacentral:rRNA from 1 species